rnacentral:rRNA from 1 species
GAUGAACGCUGGCGGCGUGCCUAAUACAUGCAAGUCGAGCGAACAGACGAGGAGCUUGCUCCUCUGAUGUUAGCGGCGGACGGGUGAGUAACACGUGGAUAACCUACCUAUAAGACUGGGAUAACUUCGGGAAACCGGAGCUAAUACCGGAUAACAUGUUGAACCGCAUGGUUCAACAGUGAAAGACGGUCUUGCUGUCACUAAUAGAUGGAUCCGCGCCGCAUUAGCUAGUUGGUAAGGUAACGGCUUACCAAGGCAACGAUGCGUAGCCGACCUGAGAGGGUGAUCGGCCACACUGGAACUGAGACACGGUCCAGACUCCUACGGGAGGCAGCAGUAGGGAAUCUUCCGCAAUGGGCGAAAGCCUGACGGAGCAACGCCGCGUGAGUGAAGAAGGUCUUCGGAUCGUAAAACUCUGUUAUUAGGGAAGAACAAAUGUGUAAGUAACUAUGCACGUCUUGACGGUACCUAAUCAGAAAGCCACGGCUAACUACGUG